rnacentral:rRNA from 1 species
GACGAACGCUGGCGGCGUGCUUAACACAUGCAAGUCGAACGCUGAAGCUCAGCUUGCUGGGUGGAUGAGUGGCGAACGGGUGAGUAACACGUGAGUAACCUGCCCUCUUCUUUGGGAUAACGCCCGGAAACGGGUGCUAAUACUGGAUAUUCACUGAUUCUCGCAUGGGGGUUGGUGGAAAGGUUUUUUCUGGUGGGGGAUGGGCUCGCGGCCUAUCAGCUUGUUGGUGGGGUGAUGGCCUACCAAGGCUUUGACGGGUAGCCGGCCUGAGAGGGUGACCGGUCACAUUGGGACUGGGAUACGGCCCAGACUCCUGCGGGAGGCAGCAGUGGGGCAUAUUGCACCAUGGGCGAAAGCCUGAUGCAGCGACGCCGCGUGAGGGAUGGAGGCCUUCGGGUUGUAAACCUCUUUCGCUCAUGGUCAAGCCGCAGCUUUGGGUUGUGGUGAGGGUAGUGGGUAAAGAAGCGCCGGCUAACUACGUG